UUCCGUAGGGUGACCUGCGGAGGGAUCAUUACCGAGUUUACAACUCCCAAACCCCUGUGAACAUACCACUUGUUGCCUCGGCGGAUCAGCCCGCUCCCGGUAAAACGGGACGGCCCGCCAGAGGACCCCUAAACUCUGUUUCUAUAUGUAACUUCUGAGUAAAACCAUAAAUAAAUCAAAACUUUCAACAACGGAUCUCUUGGUUCUGGCAUCGAUGAAGAACGCAGCAAAAUGCGAUAAGUAAUGUGAAUUGCAGAAUUCAGUGAAUCAUCGAAUCUUUGAACGCACAUUGCGCCCGCCAGUAUUCUGGCGGGCAUGCCUGUUCGAGCGUCAUUUCAACCCUCAAGCACAGCUUGGUGUUGGGACUCGCGUUAAUUCGCGUUCCUCAAAUUGAUUGGCGGUCACGUCGAGCUUCCAUAGCGUAGUAGUAAAACCCUCGUUACUGGUAAUCGUCGCGGCCACGCCGUUAAACCCCAACUUCUGAAUGUGACCUCGAUCAGGUAGAAGCCCCGGCCC
rnacentral:rRNA from 1 species